rnacentral:rRNA from 1 species
UACGGGGGGGGCAAGCGUUGUUCGGAAUUACUGGGCGUAAAGGGCUCGUAGGCGGCCAACUAAGUCGGAUGUGAAAUCCCCAGGCUCAACCUGGGAACUGCAUCCGAUACUGGAUGGCUUGAGUUUGGGAGAGGGAUGCGGAAUUCCAGGUGUAGCGGAUGAAAUGCGUAGAUAUCUGGAGGAACACCGGUGGCGAAGGCGGCGAUCCUGGACCAACACUGGACCGCUCGAGUGAGCGAAAGCCAGGGGAGCAAAACCGGGGA